CACAAAACUUAUGGGACACAGCAAAGGCAGUUCUAAGUGGGAAGUUUAUAGAGAUACAUGCCUUCCUCAAAAAAGAAGAACAAUCUCAAAUAAACAAUUUAACCCACCACCUGAAUCAAUUAGAAAAAGAAGAAUAAAAACCCCCAAAAGGCAGUAGAAGAAAGGAAAUUAUAAAGAUUAGG